UACAGAGGUCCCGAGCGUUGUUCGGAUUCAUUGGGCGUAAAGGGUGCGUAGGCGGCGAGGCCAGUCUGAUGUGAAAUCCCCGGGCUCAACCCGGGAACUGCAUUGGAUACUGCCUUGCUUGAGUACUGGAGAGGGAACUGGAAUUUACGGUGUAGCAGUGAAAUGCGUAGAGAUCGUAAGGAAGGCCAGUGGCGAAGGCGAGUUCCUGGACAGUUACUGACGCUGAGGCACGAAGGCCAGGGGAGCAAACGGG
rnacentral:rRNA from 1 species